rnacentral:rRNA from 1 species
GAGAUGGGCUCGCGUCCGAUUAGCCAGUUGGUGAGGUAACGGCCCACCAAAGCAACGAUCGGUAGCCGGACUGAGAGGGUGACCGGCCACACUGGAACUGAGACACGGUCCAGACUCCUACGGGAGGCAGCAGUGGGGAAUAUUGCACAAUGGAGGGAACUCUGAUGCAGCGACGCCGCGUGAGCGAAGAAGGCCUUCGGGUUGUAAACUUCUUWGAUCGGGGACGAAAGAGACGGUACCCGAGGAACAAGCCACGGCUAACUACGUGCCAGCAGCCGCGGUAAUACGUAGGUGGCGAGCGUUGUCCGGAAUUACUGGGCGUAAAGGGCGUGUAGGCGGGGGGACAAGUCAGAUGUGAAAUACCGCAGCUUAACUGCGGGGCUGCAUCUGAAACUGUUCUUCUUGAGUGUCGGAGAGGAAAGUGGAAUUCCCAGUGUAGCGGUGAAAUGCGUAGAGAUUGGGAGGAACACCAGUGGCGAAGGCGGCUUUCUGGACGACAACUGACGCUGAGGCGCGAAAGCGUGGGGAGCAAACAGGAUUAGAUACCCUGGUAGUCCACGCUGUAAYCSAUGGUACUAGGUGUAGGAGGUAUCGACCCCUUCUGUGCCGGAGUUAACACAAUAAGUAUCCCGCCCUGGGGA